GAUGAACGCUGGCGGCGUGCCUAAUACAUGCAAGUCGAGCGAACUGAUUAGAAGCUUGCUUCUAUGACGUUAGCGGCGGACGGGUGAGUAACACGUGGGCAACCUGCCUGUAAGACUGGGAUAACUUCGGGAAACCGAAGCUAAUACCGGAUAGGAUCUUCUCCUUCAUGGGAGAUGAUUGAAAGAUGGUUUCGGCUAUCACUUACAGAUGGGCCCGCGGUGCAUUAGCUAGUUGGUGAGGUAACGGCUCACCAAGGCAACGAUGCAUAGCCGACCUGAGAGGGUGAUCGGCCACACGAGGACUGAGACACGGACCAGACUCCUACGGGAGGCAGCAGUAGGGAAUCUUCCGCAAUGGACGAAAGUCUGACGGAGCAACGCCGCGUGAGUGAUGAAGGCUUUCGGGUCGUAAAACUCUGUUGUUAGGGAAGAACAAGUACAAGAGUAACUGCUUGUACCUUGACGGUACCUAACCAGAAAGCCACGGCUAACUACGUGCCAGCAGCCGCGGUAA
rnacentral:rRNA from 1 species